AUUAAUCGUUUAAAAAAGGUUUUACGGAGGACGCGGCGUGAGGGAGGAGGGCUUCUGGUCGUGGAGUUCUGUUGUUAGGCUUAACUAUUAACGGAGUAACUGCUGUUCCUUUCAAACCUUUCUUAUUUCACGGCUAACUACGUGGCAUCAGCCACGGAAUGAUAAUGGGUGCGUUGUUCGGAAUUAUUGGGCGUAAAGGGCGCUCUGUGGUUCUUUAAUUCUGAUAAGAAAUCCCACGGCUCAACCGUGGAUGGUCAUUGUAAACUGGGGAACUUGAGUGCAGAAGAGAAAUUGGAAUUCCAAGUGUAUCGGUGAAAUGCGUCUGAUUUGGAGGAACACCAGUGGCGAAGGCGACUUUCUGGUCUGUAUCUGAUUCUGAUGCGCRAAAGUGUGGUAAACGAAGAUAUUAGAUACCCUGGUUGUCCACGCUUAUUCGAUGAGGGCUUGUGUUAUUUGUUUCUUCCCCUUCUGCUGCGCUAACUUAUUAAGCACUCCGUCUUGUGUUUACGACCACAGGUUAUUUGUCAAAGAAAUUGACUGAG
rnacentral:rRNA from 2 species